AAGAUCGUGCUUCAUAGGAUCAUUUCUAUAGUACGAUCGCCGAGACGCAUCCGCGAUCUCGGAACACACUCGACCACGAUGAUGAGUUGAGGGUCUCCGCCUGAGCGUGAAGCCGGUAUGGGCUCCUGGGUUUCGACCCGGGUUCCUGCCAUUGAUGAACGUUCCUUCGGCCCUUGUGGCUGACGGGAGGGCGGAGACUCGGUCUGAGUGGU
rnacentral:snoRNA from 1 species